GGGGCCAUGGCGCAACCGGCCGAGCGCAUCUGACUGUGACUCAGAAGAUAUGGGUUCGAGUCCCAUUGGCCCUC
rnacentral:tRNA from 1 species